rnacentral:rRNA from 1 species
GGGUUCGAUUCCGGAGAGGGAGCCUGAGAGAUGGCUACCACUUCUAAGGAAGGCAGCAGGCGCGCAAAUUACCCAAUCCCAAUACGGGGAGGUAGUGACAAUAAAUAACAAUACAGGUCUUGAACAAAGUCGUGUAAUUGGAAUGAGAGCAAUGUAAAUAUCUCAACGAGUAACAAUUGGAGGGCAAGUCUGGUGCCAGCAGC